rnacentral:tRNA from 2 species
GCCUGGCGGGCUCAGUUGGUAAAGUAUGCGACUCUUGAUUGCGAGGUUGUGAGUUCAAGCCCCACGUGGGGUG